rnacentral:rRNA from 1 species
AGAGCGAACGCUGGCGGCAGGCCUAACACAUGCAAGUCGAGCGCCCCGCAAGGGGAGCGGCAGACGGGAGAGUAACACGUGGGAACGUACCCUUUGGUUCGGAACAACACAGGGAAACUUGUGCUAAUACCGGAUAAGCCCUUACGGGGAAAGAUUUAUCGCCAAAGGAUCGGCCCGCGUCUGAUUAGCUUGUUGGUGAGGUAACGGCUCACCAAGGCUACGAUCAGUAGCUGGUCUGAGAGGAUGAUCAGCCUCACUGGGACUGAGACACGGCCCAGACUCCUACGGGAGGCAGCAGUGGGGAAUAUUGGACAAUGGGCGCAAGCCUGAUCCAGCCAUGCCGCGUGGAUGAUGAAGGCCCUAGGGUUGUAAAGUCCUUUCGACGGGGAAGAUAAUGACGGUACCCGUAGAAGAAGCCCCGGCUAACUUCGCGCCAGCAGCCGC